UCAAGUAUAUUAACCAUAAAAAAAAAUUAACUGGAUCAAAACUUAUUUAAGUUGUCAGUGAUUGCAAUGUCAAAUUAUUUAUGUAUAAUUGAAAAAAUAGUUUCCCGGUAUUGAUUAAAAUUACUAUUUUGAAUAUUUUAGAAGGUAACACUCAACAAUGAAGACAUGGUAAAAAUCAAAAUGGCUAUACGUUAUUUGAUAAAUGAUAUUAACAAAAAUAGGAAUUGGGAUUAUUACGAUUUAGGUGAUGUACUGUUAAUAGUAUUAAAAUACAAGGCAGAAUGUAAUAAAACAAAAUUUGGUGAAAUUAAUGAUGAUGUCAUUCAUGAUAAAUUAAACGAUAUUUCAAAAUAUUAUAAAGCAAACGAUUUUAAAGCAUUUCACGAAGAAUAGAUAUGUUGUAUAACAUUAUUUUGUUAAAGUUUUCAAAAACCCAUGUUUUUAUCAAAUAUUCUAAAAUUAUAAAAAGUUAUAACACCUACAUCCAAUCA